GACGAACGCUGGCGGCGCGCCUAACACAUGCAAGUCGAACGGGAUCUUUUAGAGAGCUUGCUCUCUGGCUGAUCUAGUGGCGGACGGGUGAGUAACACGUGAGCAACCUGCCCUGGAGUGGGGAUAACGUCUGGAAACGGACGCUAAUACCGCAUAACAUCAUUGAGCGGCAUCGCUUGGUGAUCAAAGGAGAAAUCCGCUUUGGGAUGGGCUCGCGCCCGAUUAGGUAGUUGGUGGGGUAAAGGCCUACCAAGCCAACGAUCGGUAGCCGGACUGAGAGGUUGAACGGCCACAUUGGGACUGAGAUACGGCCCAGACUCCUACGGGAGGCAGCAGUGGGGAAUAUUGGGCAAUGGGCGCAAGCCUGACCCAGCAACGCCGCGUGAAGGAAGAAGGCUUUCGGGUUGUAAACUUCUUGGACCAGGGAAGAAACAAAUGACGGUACCUGGAAAACAAGCCACGGCUAACUACGUGCCAGCCGCCGCAGUAACAC
rnacentral:rRNA from 1 species